rnacentral:rRNA from 1 species
AUGGGCGGUUCUAUUCUUCAUAGAACUAGUAGUCUUGCGGACGCUAUUGCCAUGCUUAUAGUUGAACUUGAAAUGCAAUUUAUGCACAUGCAUCCUUGCAUACAACGAAUCUUCUUAGAAUUCUCUAAUAUUGAGCAUUCUUCUGUUAAGCGUGCCGUCACUAUCUUUUUGGCUCAUGAGUUUAGAUUUAUAAUAAAAGAGGCCAAAGAAAUCUUUGCGCAUUAUAGGGUGGAUGCUAGUCAUCCUCCCAUUGAAGCUAUCCUAUUUAAUCAAGAAGACAUGAUGCGUUUACAAUCUUUAGAUCAUAUUGCUUAUAAUGAAAAUCUUAGGAAAAAGGUUCCUGCCGCUGUUCUAGUUGAUAAAAUUUCCGAGCUUAAUGAUGAUUUUGCUAUUCAAAAUAAUGGACUAGGUUUUCCUUUUGAAUGA